rnacentral:rRNA from 1 species
UACGGAGGGGGCUAGCGUUGUUCGGAAUUACUGGGCGUAAAGCGCACGUAGGCGGAUAUUUAAGUCAGGGGUGAAAUCCCGGGGCUCAACCCCGGAACUGCCUUUGAUACUGGGUAUCUGGAGGUCGAGAGAGGCGAGUGGAAUUCCGAGUGUAGAGGUGAAAUUCGUAGAUAUCGAGAGGAACACCUGCGGCGAAGGCGGGUUGCUGGGCUGACACUGACGCUGAGACGCGAAAGCGUGGGGAGCAAACAGG